GUGAACGCCCUCACGGGCUUAUACUAUUCCAAACCUCUGUGAACCGUGCCCUUCGGGGCUAUUUUACAAACAUGGUGUAAUGAACGUCAAUAAUAUCAUAACAAAACA
rnacentral:misc_RNA from 1 species